rnacentral:rRNA from 1 species
CCUACGGGUGGCUGUAGUGAGGGAUAUUGGUCAAUGGGGGAAACCCUGAACCAGCAACGCCGCGUGAGGGAAGACGGUUUUCGGAUUUUAAACCUCUGUCCUCUGUGAAGAUAAUGACGGUAGCAGAGGAGGAAGCUCCGGCUAACUACGUGCCAGCAGCCGCGGUAAUACGUAGGGAGCAAGCGUUGUCCGGAUUUACUGGGUGUAAAGGGUGAAUAGGCGGGCUUGCAAGUCAGAAGUGAAAUCUAUGGGGUUAACCCAUAAACUGAUGGUGAAACUGUAAGGCUUGAGUGAAGUAGAGGGAGGCGGAAUGCGGGGUGUAGAGGUGAAAUGCGUAGAGAGCAGGAGGAACACCGGGGGCGAAGGCGGCCGAAUGGGGUUAAACGGACGCUGAGGAACGAAAGCGGGGGUAGCAAACAGGAUUAGAUACCCUGGUAGGC